AUGGUGCGCUUCUCCGUCCUCUCCAAGGCAAGGAAGGAGGGAGGCGGGGGAGCCAAGCCAGCAAGCGGUACCAGCAGCAGCAGCCCCCUCCUCUGCCUCCUCCUCCUCCUCGGCUGGGGCGAAGGCCAGAUGAUUUCUUCUUCUGUCUGGAUCUGUGUAGGUCACCCAACAUCAGCAUGGAGUAUUUCUUUGAUUGAUUGUUUGUCCUUUCCAUCCAUGUUUUCAAGGGAACAUUGGAAGCUAAACCUCAGAGAGAAGAUGAUUGUCACAAUUCAUAUGACUAUGGCUACUUUUUCUAUCAUUGCUAUGGUGCUAUGCAGCAAAAUAUCAUUCACAGGCUCAAAAAUGCAAGAGAAACAGAGAUAUGGGGGGGGGGGGUUACAUUAUGCUUGCCAAAAUGCUAUACUGUAUAGAACUAAGAUUAUUUCAUUUACUUCACUGAUAAUGAAAUAGUUUCUUAAAUAAACCUCUUGUGAAGUAUUAUUUAUUUUUUAAAUAUAUAUCAAAACUCAAAGAUGCAUCAAAAGAAUGGUGCUGAUAUAAUGUCACCCCUCCCCAAAUAAAUAUUUCUUAAAGACAGGUGUGCUGGUAUC
rnacentral:lncRNA from 11 species